UACGUAGGGUGCGAGCGUUGUCCGGAAUUAUUGGGCGUAAAGAGCUCGUAGGCGGUCUGUCGCGUCUGCUGUGAAAUCCCGAGGCUCAACCUCGGGCUUGCAGUGGGUACGGGCAGGCUAGAGUGCGGUAGGGGAGAAUGGAACUCCUGGUGUAGCGGUGGAAUGCGCAGAUAUCAGGAAGAACACCGAUGGCGAAGGCAGUUCUCUGGGCCGUAACUGACGCUGAGGAGCGAAAGUGUGGGGAGCGAACAGG
rnacentral:rRNA from 1 species